CUGCACUAGCAGGAUCAGGAGAAGAAGCAACAAGACCGCAAGAAACAAGAAAGAAACCAGCGCCAGAUAUUCAGAUCUAUCCCUCUACCUCAUUUUAACAUCUGGAUGGAAAAAAUGCUAACCAAAAUAUUUGUAUGAUUUGAAUGAGUCACUGCAUUCUUUUUUCAUUAAUGAGACAGCUAGAGUAUCCGCUUUGAAGCAGCAUUAGUAAAGUUGUAUUACAUUUUUCUAUGGCUGGUCCUUCUCCCAGAGGGUGUGAUUCUGAGCUGUUGAAAUCAAAGGGGGUUCUGCACAAGGCACUAAUGGGAUAUGGAUUGUACCCUAACUACUUUUUUUCUUGGACUUCCCUGGACUUUUGAAUAAUGGUAUCACAUCUUUGCCUCAAGGGCCAGUUGCUGAAUAAUUUCCGGCUUAUUAAGAUAGUCAGGAAAAGAAGUUUUGAUAGAUCCAUGGAAGUUGUUAACACAACACACAGAUUCACAGUUGCACAGGUCCUGCAAACUCCUUUAUCAGCUUUGGGAGCUCUCAAGGGGUUGCUGAGGGAAGGGAGAAGGUGAGGAAGAAUGGUUCCCGCACUUCAUAGAAAUAAUCCUGAAGUAUUUAGAAUGAUCACAAGAGUAAGUUAAAUGAUGUAACUUUGGUAAAAUGGA